AUGCCUGUGCAGGGGUCCCAGAGGAGCCUGCUGGGCGCUGUGAACUCCACCCCCACCGCCACCCCCCCACCUCAGGCCGGCCGCCAACCAGACGGGACCCCAGUGCCUGGAGGUGUCCAUCCCCGACGGACUCUUCCUCUGCCUGGGGCUGGUGAGCUUGGUGGAGAACACGCUGGUCGUGGCAGCCAUCGCCAAGAACCGCAACCUGCACUCGCCCAUGUACUGCUUCAUCUGCUGCCUGGCGCUGUCCGACCUGCUGGUGAGCGUGAGCAGCGUGCUGGAGACGGCUGUCCUGCUGCUGCUGGGGGCGGGCGCCCUGGCGGCCCAGGCCACCGUGGUGCAGCAGCUGGGCAACGUCAUCGACGUGCUCCUCUGCAGCUCCAUGGUGUCCAGCCUCUUCUUUCUGGGCGCCAUCGCCAUGGACCGCUACAUCUCCAUCUUCUAUGCACUGCGCUAUCACAGCAUCGUGACGCUGGCCCGGGCGCGGCGGGCCAUCGCCGCCAUCUGGGCGGCCAGCAUCCUCUCCAGCACCCUCUUCAUCGCCUACUGCGACCGCACAGCUGCCCUGCUCUGCCUGGUGGUCUUCUUCCUGGCCAUGCUGGUGCUCAUGGCCGUGCUGUACGUGCACAUGCUCACCCAGGCGCGCCAGCACGCCCAGGGCAUCGCCCGGCUCCACAAGAGGCAGCGCCCGGUGCAGCAGGGCUGGGGGCUCAAGGGUGCUGCCACCCUCACCAUCCUGCUAGGCGUCUUCUUCCUCUGCUGGGGCCCCUUCUUCCUGCACCUCACGCUCAUAGCCGUCUGCCCCCAGCACCCAACCUGCAGCUGCAUCUUCAAGAACUUCAGACUCUUCCUGGCCCUCAUCGUCUGCAACGCCAUCGUCGACCCCCUCAUUUAUGCCUUCCGCAGCCAGGAGCUCCGCAAGACGCUCAAGGAGGUGCUGCUGUUCUCCUGUAGCCUUACUUGUGCCCUCGUCAGCUGGGAAGUCUCUGGGAUGGAAGAGCGACAAGGCCACGGAGAAGGAGUGGUCCUGAGAUGGCCUCAGGAGAAGGGGCUUUGUGACCAGAAAUAUUCAGCCAUAGCCACGACGCGGCUACUUCAGGAAGAAUUCUGGGAAGUCAUCAGUGACGAGCAUGGCAUAGACCCCAGCGGCAACUACGUGGGGGACUCGGACCUGCAGCUGGAGCGGAUCAGCGUCUACUACAAUGAGGCCUCCUCUCACAAGUAUGUGCCUCGGGCCAUCCUGGUGGACCUGGAGCCUGGGACCAUGGACAGCGUCCGGUCUGGGGCCUUCGGGCAUCUCUUCAGGCCUGACAACUUCAUCUUCGGCCAGAGUGGGGCUGGCAACAACUGGGCCAAGGGUCACUACACGGAGGGCGCAGAGCUGGUGGACUCGGUCCUGGACGUGGUGCGGAAGGAGUGUGAGAAUUGCGACUGCCUGCAGGGCUUCCAGCUGACCCACUCGCUGGGCGGGGGCACCGGGUCCGGCAUGGGCACCCUGCUCAUCAGCAAGGUGCGCGAGGAGUACCCCGACCGCAUCAUGAACACCUUCAGCGUGGUGCCCUCGCCCAAGGUGUCGGACACGGUGGUCGAGCCCUACAACGCCACCCUGUCCAUCCACCAGCUGGUGGAGAACACGGACGAGACCUACUGCAUCGACAACGAGGCGCUCUAUGACAUCUGCUUCCGCACCCUCAAGCUGGCCACGCCCACCUACGGGGACCUCAACCACCUGGUGUCGGCCACCAUGAGCGGGGUCACCACCUCGCUGCGCUUCCCGGGCCAGCUCAACGCCGACCUGCGCAAGCUGGCCGUGAACAUGGUGCCCUUCCCCCGCCUGCACUUCUUCAUGCCGGGCUUCGCGCCCCUCACAGCCCGCGGCAGCCAGCAGUACCGCGCGCUCACGGUGCCCGAGCUCACCCAGCAGAUGUUCGACGCCAAGAACAUGAUGGCCGCCUGCGACCCGCGCCACGGCCGCUACCUGACCGUGGCCACCGUCUUCCGGGGCCGCAUGUCCAUGAAGGAGGUGGACGAGCAGAUGCUGGCCAUCCAGAGCAAGAACAGCAGCUACUUCGUGGAGUGGAUCCCCAACAACGUGAAGGUGGCCGUGUGCGACAUCCCGCCGCGCGGCCUGAAGAUGUCCUCCACCUUCAUCGGCAACAGCACGGCCAUCCAGGAGCUGUUCAAGCGCAUCUCGGAGCAGUUCACCGCCAUGUUCCGGCGCAAGGCCUUCCUGCACUGGUACACCGGCGAGGGCAUGGACGAGAUGGAGUUCACCGAGGCCGAGAGCAACAUGAACGACCUGGUGUCCGAGUACCAGCAGUACCAGGACGCCACGGCCGAGGAGGAGGGCGAGAUGUACGAAGAUGAGGAGGAGGAGUCGGAGGCCCAGGGCCCCAAGUGAGGCCGCUCGCAGCCGGGGUGUGGGGCCGGGGUGCUCCGUCCCCAGCGCCAUUAGCUACCGACACCCCCCUGCUUUGCUCCCCACCAGCUCAGAGGCCCCGAGUCCUUGUCCUCCAACACUGAUGGCCGCCCCACCCCCGCCCACUGGGCUCCGUCUCCCACCAUAGGGCGUCUGUGUCGUGUGUCCCGUUUGUCUCUGACUUACUGUGGCUCCAGCCCUGAUGGUUUAUGGUUUGUUCUGUUUUUUUAUCGGUUUGUGUUUAUAUUUUGGGGGAUACUUAAUAAAUCUACUGCUGUCAGAUA